rnacentral:misc_RNA from 1 species
GUAGGUGAACCUGCGGAAGGAUCAUUACUGAGUUCAUGCCCUCACGGGUAGAUCUCCACCCUUGAAUAUUAAACCUUUGUUGCUUUGGCGGGCCGCUUCGGCCACCGGCUUUGGCUGGUGAGUGCCUGCCAGAGGACCCCAAAUUCUGAAUUAUAGUGUCGUCUGAGAACUAUAUAAUAGUUAAAACUUUCAACAACGGAUCUCUUGGUUCUG